rnacentral:tRNA from 1 species
GAUAUAAUGCCUGAUAAAAGGAUAACAUUGAUAGUGUUAAUUAUAUAGUUUAAACUAUUUAUAUCU